GACCAAAGUCACCAAACCCUAAAUUUUCUUCAUCGCCAUCGGCCGUUCAUCUCUUCAAUCGGACAUCACUUCGCCUGAUUCGCCUCUCAUCGGACAUCACUUUCCGGCACUUCAUCGAACAUCACUUCGACAACAUCGGACAUCACUUCAAUCGGACAUCUCUUCAAUCGCCUCUCAACUCUUCAACAUCACUUCGACAUCAUCCGGCAUCACCAAAUUUCGUCAAAUGUGUCUCUUAGAUUGUAAGGAAUUGAGGCUUUUGAUGAAACAAGAGAAAGGAAGUCAGAUAUCGAGAUUUCUGAAGACGAAAGACGACAAUCCAAAAUUGGGGCCCUAAAAAAGAAGGCAAUAAAUGCUUCAAACAAGUUCACUCACUAAAGAAAAGGGGAAAAAGGAAAACUGAUUACAGGGUUCCUUCGGUUUCUAUAGAAGACGUACGCAAUGCAAACGGGGAGAAAGCAGUCCAUGAAUUGAGGCAAAAGCUUCUUGAUAGGGACUUACUGCCAUCUAGACAUGAUGACUAUCACACAUUGCUGAGUCUAGUAAUUUUAUUCUUUCAUUGUUUUAAAUCAUUGUCAAAUCUUUGCUGUUAGAUUUGGCAUGCUAAGAAACAUGAUGAGUAAUAUGGGAUCAUGGGAAUUUUCUAAAAAUGAACAUGAUCGAAUUUGGUUAUUAACCUAUAUAUUAACCUAUAUAUUAAAAACACAAGCGAUUGAACAGUAACAAUUA
rnacentral:lncRNA from 1 species